rnacentral:lncRNA from 1 species
CCCACCGGAUCCUGUGUUUUAGGGAUCAAGGAAAUAAAGUUAGGUGUGGAUGAUCUAGGGUUUUAUUUCUUAGCUUUGUCCUUCUCUUUCUCAGAACCAUGGGCACGGGGAGGAGAUCCUCUGUGUGGCACAAUGCCCGCCCUUUCUUCUGGCAACCUCCAGUUAUGAUGGGGAAAUUAUCAUCCGGAAUGUCAUCUCAGGCCACGUGUGCUGCAAACUGAAUACUCCUAGCCUCUCGGAUGUCCCGGAUCCUCAGAAAGACCUAAGGGUUUCCUGCCUUUCCUUCCUGAAGACUCGGGCAGCCAAGCUGGAUGCAACAGCUGCUUCCCUCAUUG